GAGCAACCUGUUACCGUGGCGACUGCUCCCUUAGCAUGCAACCGCACACCCUUGGGGACACAAGGGUUGGUGAAGUUGGCCGGGUACGAGUGCGGACCAUCAGAGGCUUGGCUGUGGAGACACGUGAAGCUGAACACAGUGGGUCUCCCUCGGUGUCACUCUGAGACACUUGCUUGGAGGAGGCUCCCUCCUUGGACGAGCUGUAGCCGUCAUAUCCCACAUCCUCUGGCCUCAGCUGGAGCAGCGACUGGCCUUCCUGCUGCAGCGAGGCAGCGUUCCAUGGAUACGUGUCAUUCACCCACUUGGAUGGAUCCUCCCAUGCUGCUCUUUUGCCGUAAAGCUGCAGAGUGGUCAAAAUUGGAGAGGAGGUGUAGUUGAAGGUAGCCGCAGGGCAGCAGCUCUGGCACUUCGGAGGCGUGGGCACGAACCACCCCGCCCAUCCUGUAGCAGACGAUGCUGUCUGAGUUGAGACCCAGGCUGGUCAGGGGGUCCACCCGAAACACAUACUCCUGCAGAGAGGGAGCGGAAAACAUGAAGAGCUGCAACAUUGAUCGUGCUUAAAAAUAUGUUGUGACUCCAUCUUGUUGUCGAACAAGAUUUACAGUUACUGAUCAUAUUGACUGUGGGAUCUGGUUUUGUCUGUCUGUGAUUCUUACAAAAUAAGUCAGACAUAACUUCAGUUGGAGGAGGGAUGCAUCUUUGCACCAUUAGAGUGAGAAGGACAUCCUAUCAGUCUCAUCGUACAAGUAAAAAAAUUUGGUUCUUUGACCUUCAACUCCAGGCACUCAAGUGAAUAGUUAGGAAUGAAAUUUGCUGUACUGAUAUCAAAUGCAAUGCAUUCAUUGCUCUCUCUUUUUCAAGUAGUGUCAGCUCAAAAAGAGGUUGUCAGUGAAUGAGCCCUAAUUAUUGUUAAACGCCCUUUUAGAAGAAGCAUCUGACAAAUCAUCUUCACCACAUGAACAAAUAUCACUCAAUAAGACCAGAGGCAGAUACGAUUUUAAUUGCUAUGUAGUUAUUUAAUGCUACAUUAUGCAUGCUGGUUCGCUGAUAUUAAUAAAAUGGAACGAUCAUCAUUUAAGCUAUUAAAAAUGCCCGUGCCUCUACUACUACGAGUCAUAAUGUCUGCUGUGAAAAAACCUACCACCUGCCUCAAACGACAGACCUGUAACUACGAGCAAAGACCUUUAUCGUUUACCUUGAAGAGGCGUCGUAUCACCCCGUCCAGGACGUCCCACUUGGUUUUCCCACUCACACCUAUCGACCCAAUCAGGUACUCCUGGGUUUGUGUACCCUGAGGAGUUGUCAAAUUCGUGAAAAAAAAACACAGGAGUCGGGUAUGAAUACGGUGGUUUGAGAUGGAAAAAAGGGUAAAAUAAUGUGGAAUCUCCGUCCACUGACCUUAGUGGUAUAUGGCCCGCUGCUGAUGGUCACCACUAUCCGCACACUCCGGCCCUCUUUGCGCAGAUUGCCCUCGUAGCUGUCAUCUAGCAGAAUAUCUGAAAGUAAAAACUUUCUGUCAGGAAAGACAAGCAACUUUGAUCUGUUAAAGCCUUGAUUCAUUAUAGGCAAAGUCUCAUUCUGCCUGCCAACAAAUUAUCGGCGGGAAUGGACAAACAGACCACGAAGUAAAAACAACGAAACAACAGUUAAUGGGUUUCUUUC